CGCAUCUGCCGCCGCCACAAGCACCGCACCUCCGCCUCUGCCCCCAACCAUCCCAUCGCCGUCGCCUCUCACCCCCCGCACCCCCGCCCCCUCUCCCAACUACCCCACCGCCGCAGACCGCCCUCCGCUCCGUCCACUGCCGACGUCGCCCCAAGCACCCCACAGCAGCGCCGCCAAGCACCCCACAGCAGCGCCGCCAAGCACCCAACGGACACGGACCACCACCAGCGCUGACCAGCUCCGUCGCCGAGCCACUCCACCGCCGACCACCCUCCUCCACCGAACGCCUUCCCACGCUGCAUCGCAAGAUUCAUCUCUCGAGCAGGCGUCCUCCCCACAAGCUUCACCCGAGCAGCGAGCCGGUCGCCACCACUCCGUCUGCCGUCCCACCUCGCAGUGAGAUAGAAAGAUGGAAGAGGGUGCGGCACAAGGAAAGGGGAUGAGUAUGGAUGCCUCCCCUUACCUCAGGAAAGUGGACCUCAAGAUGUAUUCUAGCCACUAAAACCUCCACUGGAAACAAAACUUUACUAUUAAUUGUUGAACGAGACCAUGAGCAAUGCAGCCUCGACCAUUACAUGUUUGCCUGCGAUUUUCAAACUGAUGAAUUUGGAGCAGAGACACUGAUGAUGUACACAUACCAAUCACCAGGUAUUACAGAUUUCCAACCAGCUGUAUAUGUAGUUGAACACUCUUUCUGGUAUCUGAAACUACACGAACUCUGAAAAAAUGAGUUAGAUGUUGUCACAGACUUUGGAAAGAGGCCAUCCCAUUUUAGCGGAUGGAAAAAUAUUUAUGAGCUAACAAUUGAUGAUAUUUAUAAACCUGUUUCACUAUAAAUAAGAAAAUAAUGCAAAUCAAAAGAUACUCAAGCCUGCAUAGAGUCCAUCGAUAUAGAAAAACCAUUGUGGCUGUAACACUCAGUUACUCACCUAACAGAGUUUGAUCCUGCUCACACUUAUUCCAGCUUUCCGUUGCUUUUCUCAAUUUGAUCCAUGCACGUAGAGAAAGGAGUUCGAAGGAGGAAUUAAACACACGAAGAGAGAGAGAGAGAGAGAGAGGGGUUAAUAGAGAGGAAUCUUCUGCAAUCCACAGGGCAGGGCACAACGUGACUACCUCUACCCGGUGCAAACCCCUUUGCAUCCUCCGUAGAGCAGAGCACAACCAACAGCUCUGUAGCGAUGCAAUGCUUCUGUUACCUGUCCAAAAAGUAAACCCUUCUUCAUCCUCGCCACAUGGAGUGCAGGUUGGCAUCACACUGGAAGAUCUUCUGGUCGAUGCGUAGUUGUACAAGUCAACUAGGAUACAUGGUGAUUCUUCUGUUCAUUGUGACAACACAAUCAAGUGGCUUGAGGCAUGUGGCCCUCUUUGAAUAAUGUAGCUUCACAUGAUGGUGGCGAGUCUUCUAUUCAGAACAUCCCAUGAUUACGGAAAUGGCAUUCAACAAACGGCUGAGCAGAAAUAUACAAAAGUGUGAACAUGCCAUUGUUUCCUAGACAUAGCUAUAGUGAUAAGUCAAGCUCAUACAGUUAGUGUAGCUUAGUUUGAAUACAUAACAUCUUAUUGUCUCAUGUAAAUUAUGUUUACCAAUGUAGUUGUUUGCUACUGAACACAUCUAUGGAUGUUGAGAUCUUGAAUUUUUAGUCUGAAUGUGUUUGAGGUCUGCCA